rnacentral:lncRNA from 1 species
ACCCCAUCUCACACAUCUUCUUCACGCCCCACUUCUCUUUCGAAACCCUAGCCGCGCCGCCAUGAAAUCCCUAGGCUGCCGGUGGCGGCGCCGAUGCCAAUCACUCCCAAACAUACACCCCUCACUCUCCUCACUCUCCUCUUUCCAUCCAUGCUAACAAUUUCCCUCAAAUCAAGUUCAGCUCCUCGAAUAUGCAUUUGAAAUUUAAGUCCAAAUUACAAAAUCGUCCAAAUAAUCCCAAAUUGAUACCAGAUAGUCUCCUCAUCUACCUUUUCACAAAUAUGUGGUUAUUUUCUUUCGAAUUUCACCAGGUCGCCUCCAAUUUCAAAUCUAGGGUUCCAAAUUUUUCUGCCAUUUGGAAGUUUCACUCUCGGAUGAUUUUGAUGAAUAUUAUGAGUUUAUCUUGACAAAGAUAAACCCAUAAUAUUACUUAGAAUUUAUUCCCAGAAAUCAAAUAAGCUCGGAUUAUUCAGUAAGUCAUUUUCCCAAUUUUAGUUUCGAUUAGUUCGAUUUUUAUUCUAUCUUUUAACUAAGCGUAGUUCUAAUUUAUGUAUAGUUUAGUUAGUAAUUUGUUUGUGUGGUAGUUCUGUUGAUUAGAAUUAUUAGUAAUGCAUGUUUCUAUGAGUUUCUUAGGUUAAUUUUCAUUCUGUUGUUUAGCUUGUUUUGUCCCGAUCACUUUUAGUCAGUCGAUCGAUUAGGUGUUAAUUCAGGUUUAAUUAGCUCUUGUUCAGUUUUAGUCAGUCAAUUAUUAGUUGUUAAUUCCGGUUUGAUUAGCUCAAUUGAUUGGUUUAAGUUAAAUAAUUUUUUUAUAUAAACUAUAGGUUCUUGUUAAAUUUGAAGUCCAUACUGAAUUUGUUAUUUGAUUAAUUAGCUUAAUAAGUUGUUCAGUUUUGAUAUUAUCAACUGGAUGCUUUAUUAGAGUUUUAGGACUUAGUUUGGAUUAUAGAUGAAGAUGCUUUGGUUGAGAAGUAAUUUUAGGAGGUAAUAAGGGUAGUUUGGGCAUUGGAAAAUGGUAGUUUCUUUAGGAAUAGUAAUUUCAAAGUAGGGAAAGGGUUGUAUAGGAAUUGUAAUGGGUAGAAGACCACCCUAGGACCUUCUAGAAUGGUACUUUAGUGUAGAUUUUAGCACAAUAGAGGUACUUGCUUGAUAAGCAAGUCAAAAAUAAGGGGACCAAACCGAAAUUAAGGGAGGACUAAAAAAGAAAAUCAAAAAUCUAAUUCACCCCCCUCUUUUGUUGCCUAUAAAAGGGCUUUAAGAUGCCUUGGGGAAGGGUCUUUAUCCGGUGCCCCAAAAGUUCACACCAAAACUCUCUUUUUUCCUUUUAAUUUCAAGUUAGCGUUUGAAUUCAAAUAUUAAAAAAUACAAAAACAUUCAGAAAUAGAAAAACCAAAAACAUUUCUACUGUUUCAUUGAUUAGUGAGUGAUUUCCAGUUUUCUCCUUUGGUAUGCUGCCUCCCAGCUUGAGGGUUUAGUUCUAAGGGUAUUCACAGGUGGUUAAUGGUUGCUCCAGUAAACUUUGAGCCUAUAAGUGUAAAUGACAGUUGGGUUUGGGGUCCAGUAGAGUCUCAAAAGCAUUUAAGGGCUAUAAGUGCGUCUCAAGUGUGUGAGGAACUGAUCUAUUGAAUCUGCCUGCAUUUUGCUUUCAAAAAUCAUCUCUUGGCUUAUUCUGUGGUGCUGUGAAACUGAGUUUGACUGCUGUUGCAGUUUGAAGUAAUUGGCCUCUAUUCUUCUCAUACUAUUUAGGUACACAAUCGAAUCCUAAGUUGAUGUAAUAUUUAGGUGGGCGCAUGAAAUGAAUUGGAUAUAUGUUGCAACUUUUCUCUCAUGUUGGUCCAUAUUAUACAUUAGAUGGAUUUUAUCUGUGACAGAUUAUUCAUUGUAUUGAAUUACAUGAAUUGUAUUAUAGGAUUGUAGAUAUGAGUUCUAUUCUUUUAAAAUGGGCAGUGUUAAUGUAAUAUUGAAUUUCCACUAGCUAGAGCUCAAUGUGACUCUUAAAACUCCUGAGUUAAUUGGAGUGUUUGAAUCCACUAUUGCGAUUUAAUUUCUAGCAAGUAUAAAAGAGUUCAUGUUUGCAUGUUUAUCCCAGUAGUCCCCAUUAGUUAACUAUUGACUAAUUAGAGUUGGAAUUGAUUUCGUCGUUUGGUGUUAGAUAGGAAACUUCAGUCUAUUCCUGCUUUGGGUAAUCAUUAGCUAAAAAUAAAUAGUUCAUUUGUCUCCCAUAUGGUUUGAAACUAGUACUUGAAGAAACUCAGCAUUUAACAUGAAAAUAAUAUGUGUGGUUGGAUAUAAUAAUUAGAACGUUGAGAAAACUGAUAUUUAUGCCUCCAUUGGGACUCGAACACUAGAGUUCUUCUUGUGUGCAAGGCGAAUAGACCCAAUGUGGGUUCAAAAUACCACCGUCUGGGCCUAUGUCUCACUCACG